AUGGGGCGAAGAAUAAUACCAUUAAAGGGAAAGCGCCGUCGUCCAGGCUUGCCGCACCCACCAGCACCUCCGCCGAGGCUCCACCUCAAAGGAGACAUUGCGAGGACUGUUGGAGUAAUUAGGCUGCUAUUGGAGACACCUUCUGGUUUCGGAAUUUUCUCAUUUGAUGGGACCUACCUGAAGAAAGAUAAUGAGGACAUCUGGUCAUACUUCGUGGAUAAACUGUGGCUACACAAUGUCAUCUGGCUUAAAGAAUUUAUAAGGUUUGAGAACAAGUCUACUGCUAUUAACCUUGAAACGGGGGUUAUUCAUGUUGAUCUGAUCAAUAUGCUGAAGAAGUGGUGCGACUCUGAGGAGAAACUAGCUGUUGGAAGGGCUGAAUAUAAAAUGAUAAUUGAAAGGAAGAUGGAAAUCACCUGUCUGUAUGAUCAAAAUGUAGAGGAGGUGAUGUGGGGUCUGAAGAAUAACAUGCAAUUUUUAGUGCCUCAAGAAAAAACAAAGCUGACUGAGAAGGAUUGUGUCCCCAUCAGCAAAGGACUUGAGCGGUUCUUAAUUCAGUAUAAAAUUGAUAUGAACCCAGAGAUGGUUAAUGUGCAUGUUGCUCAGCAGGCUGGCAUUAUCCAUCGUACUGAUUUAGCAUUAAAGAAGCACUCUGCAUUCUUUAAACUUGUUGGUGAAUCUCUUAAGAGUAUAUCAGACAUUGACAGUAAGGACUGGUGCUCAAUCAAACUUGCAACAGCUGCGGUGAUGAUAUGUCAUCCUGACAAAAUACCUAAAUACGCAAAGAUGGUCUCACCAGACGAGUACUCAAAGAUAAAAAAGGAUGCAUCCAGAUAUGAAGACGUGAUAAAGGAGAUCGAUACAUGGCUAGUCUACAGAGAUGUUGUCUUUCUCAGUGAAAAGAAGUCCAAAACUAUGAUGAAAUUUCAUUGCUUGAUAAGAGAGGCAAGCUCUUGA
rnacentral:rRNA from 1 species